GACUCGGUGGCGGAAGGCCCGUACACCCGCCAUAUUAUAGUAUUGUGAAGAAGAAAUGUUAGGGUAUGCUGCCUGUUCGAUUCAGGCCCGAGUCA